GGACGAUUUGGCGGUUUGGGACUCCUUCUUGGCUACAUACAAUGGCCGGUCCUACUGGCAAAAGCCGGAGGUUUCUAAUGCCGACCUCCACCUAUUUACAGAUGCGGCUGGCUCGGUGGGAUUUGGGGCCAUUCUGGGCUCUAGUUGGUGUGCGGCCGUGUGGCCGGACAGUUGGCAUGUCUCUGGGCUCACGAAAAAUCUGGCCUUUCUGGAGCUUUUCCCCAUUUUGGUGGCAGUGGAGGUCUGGGGGUCACGUUUGCAGGAUCAAAGGGUAGUGUUUCAUUGUGACAACUUGGGGGUUGUUCAGGCCAUUAAUCGGCUGACAGCCUCCUCCCCUCCGGUGGUUCACUUGCUUAGGCGGUUGGUUCUCCGAUGUUUGUGUCUCAAUGUGUAUUGUAGGGCAGAGCAUAUACCGGGAGUUCACAAUGUG